UACAGAGGGUGCAAGCGUUGCUCGGAUUUACUGGGCGUAAAGCGUGCGCAGACGGCUGGGUAAGUUGGACGUGAAAGCCUGGGGCUCAACCCCAGAAAUGCGUUCAAAACUGCCCGGCUUGAGUAUGGGAGAGGGAAGUGGAAUUCCUGGUGUAGAGGUGAAAUUCGUAGAUAUCAGGAGGAACACCGGCGGCGAAGGCGGCUUCCUGGCCCAUUACUGACGUUCAGGCACGAAAGCGUGGGGAGCAAACAGG
rnacentral:rRNA from 1 species